rnacentral:rRNA from 1 species
AUUGAACGCUGGCGGCAUGCCUUACACAUGCAAGUCGAACGGCAGCGCGGGAGCAAUCCUGGCGGCGAGUGGCGAACGGGUGAGUAAUAUAUCGGAACGUGCCCAGUAGUGGGGGAUAGCCCGGCGAAAGCCGGAUUAAUACCGCAUACGACCUGAGGGUGAAAGCGGGGGAUCGCAAGACCUCGCGCUACUGGAGCGGCCGAUAUCAGAUUAGCUAGUUGGUGGGGUAAAGGCCUACCAAGGCAACGAUCUGUAGUUGGUCUGAGAGGACGACCAGCCACACUGGGACUGAGACACGGCCCAGACUCCUACGGGAGGCAGCAGUGGGGAAUUUUGGACAAUGGGCGCAAGCCUGAUCCAGCAAUGCCGCGUGCAGGAAGAAGGCCUUCGGGUUGUAAACUGCUUUUGUCAGGGAAGAAAUCUUCUGGGCUAAUAUCCCGGGAGGAUGACGUACCUGAAGAAUAAGCACCG